rnacentral:rRNA from 3 species
AAAUUGAAGAGUUUGAUCAUGGCUCAGAUUGAACGCUGGCGGCAGGCCUAACACAUGCAAGUCGAACGGUAGCACAGAGAGCUUGCUCUCGGGUGACGAGUGGCGGACGGGUGAGUAAUGUCUGGGAAACUGCCUGAUGGAGGGGGAUAACUACUGGAAACGGUAGCUAAUACCGCAUAACGUCGCAAGACCAAAGAGGGGGACCUUCGGGCCUCUUGCCAUCAGAUGUGCCCAGAUGGGAUUAGCUAGUAGGUGGGGUAACGGCUCACCUAGGCGACGAUCCCUAGCUGGUCUGAGAGGAUGACCAGCCACACUGGAACUGAGACACGGUCCAGACUCCUACGGGAGGCAGCAGUGGGGAAUAUUGCACAAUGGGCGCAAGCCUGAUGCAGCCAUGCCGCGUGUAUGAAGAAGGCCUUCGGGUUGUAAAGUACUUUCAGCGGGGAGGAAGGUGUUGUGGUUAAUAACCACAGCAAUUGACGUUACCCGCAGAAGAAGCACCGGCUAACUCCGUGCCAGCAGCCGCGGUAAUACGGAGGGUGCAAGCGUUAAUCGGAAUUACUGGGCGUAAAGCGCACGCAGGCGGUCUGUCAAGUCGGAUGUGAAAUCCCCGGGCUCAACCUGGGAACUGCAUUCGAAACUGGCAGGCUAGAGUCUUGUAGAGGGGGGUAGAAUUCCAGGUGUAGCGGUGAAAUGCGUAGAGAUCUGGAGGAAUACCGGUGGCGAAGGCGGCCCCCUGGACAAAGACUGACGCUCAGGUGCGAAAGCGUGGGGAGCAAACAGGAUUAGAUACCCUGGUAGUCCACGCCGUAAACGAUGUCGACUUGGAGGUUGUGCCCUUGAGGCGUGGCUUCCGGAGCUAACGCGUUAAGUCGACCGCCUGGGGAGUACGGCCGCAAGGUUAAAACUCAAAUGAAUUGACGGGGGCCCGCACAAGCGGUGGAGCAUGUGGUUUAAUUCGAUGCAACGCGAAGAACCUUACCUACUCUUGACAUCCAGAGAACUUAGCAGAGAUGCUUUGGUGCCUUCGGGAACUCUGAGACAGGUGCUGCAUGGCUGUCGUCAGCUCGUGUUGUGAAAUGUUGGGUUAAGUCCCGCAACGAGCGCAACCCUUAUCCUUUGUUGCCAGCGGUCCGGCCGGGAACUCAAAGGAGACUGCCAGUGAUAAACUGGAGGAAGGUGGGGAUGACGUCAAGUCAUCAUGGCCCUUACGAGUAGGGCUACACACGUGCUACAAUGGCGCAUACAAAGAGAAGCGAACUCGCGAGAGCAAGCGGACCUCAUAAAGUGCGUCGUAGUCCGGAUUGGAGUCUGCAACUCGACUCCAUGAAGUCGGAAUCGCUAGUAAUCGUAGAUCAGAAUGCUACGGUGAAUACGUUCCCGGGCCUUGUACACACCGCCCGUCACACCAUGGGAGUGGGUUGCAAAAGAAGUAGGUAGCUUAACCUUCGGGAGGGCGCUUACCACUUUGUGAUUCAUGACUGGGGUGAAGUCGUAACAAGGUAACCGUAGGGGAACCUGCGGUUGGAUCACCUCCUUA